rnacentral:rRNA from 1 species
CCUACGGGGGGCAGCAGUGAGGAAUAUUGGUCAAUGGGCUUACGCCUGAACCAGCCAAGUCGCGUGAGGGAAGACUGCCCUAUGGGUUGUAAACCUCUUUUGUCAGGGAGCAAUUGGCGCUACGUGUAGCGUUAUCGAGAGUACCUGAAGAAAAAGCAUCGGCUAACUCCGUGCCAGCAGCCGCGGUAAUACGGAGGGGGCAAGCGUUAUCCGGAUUCACUGGGUGUAAAGGGAGCGUAGACGGCGAGACAAGUCUGGAGUGAAAGGCCGGGGCCCAACCCCGGGACUGCUCUGGAAACUGCCUGGCUGGAGUACAGGAGAGGUAAGUGGAAUUCCUAGUGUAGCGGUGAAAUGCGUAGAUAUUAGGAGGAACACCAGUGGCGAAGGCGGCUUACUGGACUGUAACUGACGUUGAGGCUCGAAAGCGUGGGGAGCAAACAGGAUUAGAUACCCUUGUAGUC